rnacentral:rRNA from 1 species
UUGUCACGUCGAACGGCAGCACGGACUUCGGUCUGGUGGCGAGUGGCGAACGGGUGAGUAACAUAUCGGAACGUAUCCAAUAAUGGGGGAUAACUAAUCGAAAGGUUGGCUAAUACCGCAUACGCCCUACGGGGGAAAGCAGGGGAUCUUCGGACCUUGCGUUAAUGGAGCGGCUGAUAUCUGAUUAGCUAGUUGGUGAGGUAAAGGCUCACCAAGGCGACGAUCAGUAGCUGGUCUGAGAGGACGACCAGCCACACUGGAACUGAGACACGGUCCAGACUCCUACGGGAGGCAGCAGUGGGGAAUUUUGGACAAUGGGCGCAAGCCUGAUCCAGCCAUUCCGCGUGAGUGAAGAAGGCCUUCGGGUUGUAAAGCUCUUUCGCAAGGGAAGAAAACUUACUUUCUAAUAAAGAGUGAGGUUGACGGUACCUUGAUAAGAAGCACCGGCUAACUACGUGCCAGCAGCCGCGGUAAUACGUAGGGUGCGAGCGUUAACCGGAAUUACUGGGCGUAAAGCGUGCGCAGGCGGUUUUGUAAGUCAGAUGUGAAAUCCCCGAGCUCAACUUGGGAACUGCGUUUGAAACUACAAGACUAGAAUAUGUCAGAGGGGGGUAGAAUUCCACGUGUAGCAGUGAAAUGCGUAAAGAUGUGGAGGAAUACCAAUGGCGAAGGCAGCCCCCUGGGAUAAUAUUGACGCUCA